GAUCCAGUCAUCCGAAUCCCAAGCGCCAGCAGUCCAAGCUUCAUCUUCAACUCUCAUGCGCUCCCGGAUCUUUCUCCCCACCAGCGCAUCUUCCGGAUCCACGCGUUCAUCCAGCCGUUCGAGAGCAUCCGCAGCCGUCCAUGUGCGUCCAAGCACCAUCGAUCAACGUCCGCUCCUUCCGCGUCGGCUCCGCGUUCUCAGCUCGUCUCCACCGCGUGCGAGAAAGGGGGG
rnacentral:lncRNA from 1 species